GAAUCAUGCCGUCGUACUCGAGGAAUCGGUAACGUCUGCCAUCGGCUAGAGAUCGGCUGAUAUCUUUGGUGCUGUUGAGGGCAGAUUGUUGCUCUUGAAGAAAACGGUUUUGAAGCGUUUUCCAGCUUUGGCUCCGUCACGGUCAUCGUGUCAUCCUCCAGAUAAUAAACGAUUUUGACUCGUCUGACUCUCCACUGUUCAGCCGGGGAGCCGAAGAUACCCUGGCGGGAGUAGGCAUCGAAGCUCAGACACUUGCGAGAGAACAGGGCGUAAUGAGGGACGAAACGCUGGUGCUCGUAAUGGUUGAAUGGCUUGCGACGACCGUAGGUCAGCGAUGGAUCGAACCUUUUUAUGAGAAAUUCAAAAUUUUUUUUUAUGUAAUGGAGUUUAAAAGUUUGCCUUACUAACUUAUUUUAUAAUACUUUAUUAAUGUUAUAAAAUAACGAAAAGCACAUAAGAUAGUAUAUGCCAGCAAAAUAAAAGAAAAGAAACAAUUUUUAUACAGCUUUAUUGCUAAAAGAAGAUAAGAAGUCUAAGAAUAAUACCUCACAAGCUAUUUUAAGGUAGACUACACUGGACAAAUAAAUAUUCAACGAUAAGAUAAAACCCCUAUUUUGCUAUCGUUUACACAACGCGCGACAAAAGAAAAUCCAAUCGAUCCUGCACACAUCUAAUUAACACACUCCGUUAGGUACACACACACAGUGUGUAAUAAUACACGUGCUUGCAUUCGGAAGGGCACGUGUAGCGCGACCUUGACCCUCCAGUAAUCACACGCGGUGUAACCCUUGCGCGAUAUUCCAUUAGAGCUCGGCUCAACGCAGCAUCCGGCGUAUAGAAUAAACGUAGGCAGACACAGCACGGUUUUCGAAAAAGUUGAAAUUGGCACGAUUUUAUUAUUCAAAAUGUGGUUUUACAAAAAUUAUGCGAUACAAUUUGUAUUGUUUCCUUUUAUUCCACUCUUCUCGUUCUUCCUUUUUCAACAAAAUAUAUACUUAUAUACUCGUAUGAGCUUCAUCUCGUGUAUAUUGAUCUAUUAUGUUAUUAUAUCAAAAUAAACGACAUAUUAUGCACUUCUGCUCUCGUGUAUGUACUUAUAGCUGCUGUGUAUGUAAUAAAAAUAUCGAUGUGUGUUCAUUAAAAUGUUAUACAUCAUCGUGGCUCCGUAUGGCGUGUGUGUAUUUAAAAAAAUAUAUGUGUGGUACAUAUUUUGAUUCGAAAGUCUGAGACUAAUUUUUAGACACUGACACUGGUUGUUUGUUUUAUUCUAUCUUUGAGCGUUUGUCUUCGUCUAGAGAGCGAAUAGUAGAUAGAAUUACAAUAUUUAUCAAUGCACUGACGCAGUGUAUUACUUCUGUGUUAUUUUAAGUUCCACAUAAAUGUCUCACACGUAGGUAGGACUGCACACACAUUUACAUCGCUAUUUUUUGUAUUUUAUAAGUAAUUCAUCAUAUUAUUCUUUUCAACUGCUUAUAAUUUCGAAACUAGUUAUUCGUACGCUUGAGAUUUUAUCUAAUACUGCUGUGUAAUUAUAUAAUAACUGUGUACCUCUGUAACAUUUUUUUUUUUAAGAUAAUGUAGAGAACAUUUCAGUGUAGUCUACCGUUUCUGUUCUUCGCGUAACUUCAUCGUUUACUUACUCGACGUCAUGCUUAGUGCUGCUUGAAAAAUCGUUCGGGUCGUGGCCAUCGUGUAUCACACGAAAUCCAUUCAUGAAUUUCAGUUUCUGCUUCAGCUUGUUAUCUUUGGACUGACCGUAAUAUGUAACCAUUACAAAUAACACCUCGAUUUUUAUUACAUCUUUACGCGGUAUGCGUUGUAAUUCAAAGUUCCAAAUUACCCUACUAAUUAAACAAGUAUUAGGUAUAUCUGUCUGACCUAAGCAUUACUCGAGUCACUUAAUCACGCACUGACUCGGCUCACUCGAUCUCACGGGGUUAUGUCGUUAUCUUAUAGAAAAAGUAUAAGUACUGCAGCCUCUGGUACUUUGAAUUACAACUAAAUCUCUACAUACCAUAGACUCAGAGCCGGAGAAACUGAAUCCGGGCAACAGUGGCAGACUCUCCAUGACUGUCCUUUCCUCUCAAAUCCAAAAUCAGAUACUUGUAUCAGAAAUAACACAUCACGACUUCAAA